GAUCUGAGGUGGAGAUGGCGGGUAUUAUCACUGGCAUUUUACAGCGAGGAGUCAACAAGAAGUUUACAGCACUGAGAAAGACGAGUCAGCAACAGAAGGAAAAAAAUCCAGAGAAAAUGGCACUUGCUGCAUUGGAAUGAAAGAUAAUCUGCAGAAGGUAAAUGGACAGGAGAGAUUUUCAUCAUUUUUAAUGUAUUUGCAAUGACCAUGAUUUAUAUUAAAGGUUCUCUUCUCUG
rnacentral:sRNA from 1 species